AAAAAUUCUUUAAUAAUCGGUCUAAUUCAGUUGUAUGAAAAGUGAAGUGUCUCAAUUUCAUACCUUCCUAAACAAUCGAUUGUGUUUGAGAGGACUUGUGAAAAUUGUAGAAAUAAUUAUUGUAUUUAUUUAGAACAAAACGGACAUAAUCCAUUUCUUAAUUAAUAUUGUGUCGUAUUAGAACAAAUUUAUUUAAUAAAUCAUUAUUUUAUUGUAUCCUGUAAAAAGUUCCCAUUUGAAAUUCCUCUUUUGUUACCAUAUUUUUGUAGUUUAACAGAGUCAAUUUGGUAUAAACACGCUUUAGGACAGUAGCAACAUUCGCAAGAUUGCCAUCCAUCAUAAUUCCGUUUUGAAAUUUCUUUUAAGUCGCAUGUGCGCGAACAAAAUAUUGUCUGUUAGCACACUGGUCCAAAAAAUAUCCCAACUUUGUUACCCAACAAACGCAGCUCCGAAUUAAAUACGCCUCUACUAACCCCGGCUGAAAAAAUGUGGCGGUAUCGAGAAAGA